rnacentral:misc_RNA from 1 species
GCAAGAGCGUUGUCAACAACAAGCUCAAGGCUUAGAGUACAAAGCAACUCGAAGUGGGAAUAUGGCUACAGUUGAAGUAUAUGUGGAUGGUGUUCAGGUUGGAAUGGCGCAGAAUCCUCAGAAGAAAAUGGCACAGAAGUUGGCUGCCAGGAAUGCCCUUGUUGUGUUGAAAGAGAGGGAGGAAGCUGAAGCUAAGAAGGCUGAUGAUACAAAGAAAAAGAAGAAUGGCAACCCGAGUUUUACUAGGCAGACACUAAAUGAUAUAUGCUUGCGCAAAAAUUGGCCUAUGCCACUGUAUCGAUGUGUGCACGAGGGUGGUCCAGCACAUGCAAAGAGGUUUACAUAUGGAGUACGCGUAAAUAUUUCAGACAAAGGAUUUACAGAUGAAUGUAUUGGGGAACCUAUGCCGAGUGUAAAGAAAGCCAAGGAUUCCGCAGCAGCUCUUCUAUUGGAACUCUUAAAUAGACGGUACUCGUAAAAUCUUUUUCAACUCCAGUCUUGUGGCGUGACGUACCUACAUUUUUGGUUUUCAGUUUCUAUCAGACGCUGCUGAACUAUGC